UCCCCCUUCCCCCCGAAAUCCUAAAAUUUGACAUGAUAUCUCUUUUUUUCCCUCCUUUCUUUUUCCCAAAAUCGGUUCCCUCCCCCCUCCCCAAAGAAAUCCCAAGAUUUCACCUGAAAUUAGUAGAAGCAAUGAUUCUACUUCACUUCUCGAAUAGAAAAAGAAAAAACCCUAGCAGGCACACUCUUCCCUCACUUUCUAAACUUGAAUCUGUUAAUCAUCUAAAUCAAUGGUUGAAGAAGCAGUAGUAGCAUCGACGCCUCCUCAAUCAUCUGUGCCGCUGUUUUGAUCUACCCAGCAGCGAACUCGUAUGUGAGGUUUUUUAAUUUGGGUGCUGCCAGUUUCAAUCGCCUUAGAAAUUCCUGGCUCUAUAAGCAACAAAAUCCACAAGACGAACAAGGAAAAUCCCAGGGAAGAAACGAGGCAAGUUGGGUCGGUUCGAGAAGGGGACCUGUUUGAAUCUCAAAGCGCGAAGAAGAAAAAGAAAAGAAGAAAGAAAAAGAGAUUGGAUUCCAAAGGCAAAAAAGAAAAUGAGGAAGACAGAAAGAAAAGGGAAGAACCAGGUCAGAGUUGUUCGGGUUCUCAGGUCAAGCCCCAGCUGGUUUGUUUGUACCCUUUUACAUCAACGAGUAGUGCAACGCAAAGAAAGAUCAAGCAACAAUACGAUCAGCUUGUUAAGUGUCAUGGAAACAAAGGAUUGACAUUAGCUCAGAACACUCUUGCAGGUUUUACAAAGCUAUCAUCCAUAUUGAGUAAUUUAGAGAUGCUUGACUUAAAAUACAAUUACUUGAAUGAUAGCAUUCUGCUAUCUCUGAGUGAGCUUUCAUCUCUUUGAUAUUUAGAUCUAUCAUACAAUCGAAUUGAAGGAUCAAGUCAUUCAAGAGGUUUCCAAUGGAUUUCAAGACUCACCAAAUUGGAAACUCUUGUUUUAAGUGGGAAUUCUUUGAAGAAUAGUGUUCUUCUCCAUAUGAGAAAUCUUUCAUUCUUGAAGAAAUUAAGAUUGAGCGAUAAUCACUUGGAAGGAAGGGUGCUUCAUAUUCAAGGAUUGAAUAAUUUGAUAAACUUGAAGUACUUGGAUUUAAGUUUCAACAACAUUGAAAGCAUCUCAAGCAAAGCUUAUUAAGAGAGUAAGAUGGCGUCCACUUUCACAGCCAUGUCAUCAGUUGGCUCAUUCAUUGCAUCUAAUGGUUUGGCCAUAAAAUAAUUUAUGGUUUUGCUCAAUCAGGUGACCGAGAUUCCGUUUAACAAUUUUCUUUAUUGCUGGAACAAGUCUUAACCAAGAUCAAGAUCAAAGUACUUCACUAAGUUAUAUAUGCAGGCAUUGCAAUACUUUGGCUUCAUCUAAGCUUGAGCGAGCCCUCUGUUGUAUAUUGUUUCUUCUUUUUUGAUCUUCUUCCUUUGAUUAAUGAGAGGUGAUGAUGAUUUAACAUUAUCUUUUCACCAGGAUGAAUUUUGUUUUUGUAAUUGUAAUACUUUGUGUGUGUGUUUUUUUUUUGUAUUAAAUUACAUAUUGAAUCAAUAUUUAUUUAUUAAA